rnacentral:lncRNA from 1 species
AUUAUAUGAGGCAAAACCUGCCAAAUCUAAAUGGUUAAAUCGACCAAACCUCUCCAUUGGUCGUUGGGUGAAGCCAUUAAAAAUUAUAAGUAAUGUUGGAUGCAACCAUAUUCAUUGCAUCAAUGGGAAGAAGAAGAGGUGGAUGGUUUCAAUUUUCACUUCAUAAUAAUGAUUUAUCACAAGUUUUGAAGAAAAUGCCACGCCCCCGCCUGCCUCAAAAGGUUUAAUUAUCUUAUUAAUCCUUGUAUUCUUUGGAUUUUUGAAAUGUAGAAAAAGGGUUAAUUUAAUUUCACCCUUGUGUUUGUGAUUUGGUGUUUAGGUUUGAGGAGUUUAUCUUGGG